UACGUAGGGUGCAAGCGUUGUCCGGAAUUAUUGGGCGUAAAGAGCGUGUAGGCGGCCUCGUAAGUCCGCUGUGAAAGUCCAGGGCUCAACCCUGGAAAGCCGGUGGAUACUGCGAGGCUAGAGUCCGGAAGGGGCGAGUGGAAUUCCUGGUGUAGCGGUGAAAUGCGCAGAUAUCAGGAGGAACACCAAUAGCGAAGGCAGCUCGCUGGGACGGUACUGACGCUAAGGCGCGAAAGCGUGGGGAGCGAACAGG
rnacentral:rRNA from 1 species